GACGAACGCUGGCGGCGUGCUUAACACAUGCAAGUCGAACGGAAAGGCCCUGCUUUUGUGGGGUGCUCGAGUGGCGAACGGGUGAGUAACACGUGAGUAACCUGCCCUUGACUUUGGGAUAACUUCAGGAAACUGGGGCUAAUACCGGAUAGGAGCUCCUGCUGCAUGGUGGGGGUUGGAAAGUUUCGGCGGUUGGGGAUGGACUCGCGGCUUAUCAGCUUGUUGGUGGGGUAGUGGCUUACCAAGGCUUUGACGGGUAGCCGGCCUGAGAGGGUGACCGGCCACAUUGGGACUGAGAUACGGCCCAGACGCAUACGGGAGGCAGGAGUGGGGAAUAGUGCACAAUGGGCGGAAGGCUGAUGCAGCAACGCCGCGUGCGGGAUGACGGCCUUCGGGUUGUAACCGCUUUCGCCUGUGACGAGGCGUGAGUGACGGUAAUGGGUAAAGAAGCAACGGCUAACUACGUG
rnacentral:rRNA from 1 species